GGCCUGGCAUAUCAGAACCACAUAAAUAUGAGGCUUUAAGGCUCACUGAUGCGCAAUGUACUCUAAUGCCAUCAAGUUAUGAUGUGGACAGUGCUCUAUUGUUCACCACUGGCCGACAAAUUCCAGUCAGUCCUUGAGCAGCAGUUGCCCCACAGACAAACUCACCAGUUUUAUAGUUUCACACAAUGUCAUAUGAGAUGAAAUAUCCCUUUGGUCAGUGUGAGUCAGCUGUCCUGUUUCUGUGUCCUCCCACAUCCUUGUGCCUCCCUAGCUCCCUCGCUGGCAGGACAAAACAAGAAGUUGAAACAUCCUUAGGUUACUGCAGUGCUGCUCAGCAACAACUAUGACAUCAGAGUGUUAUCAACAUUGUUUUCCUCCUAAAGCUGAAACAUGGCCUCAUUCCAGACACUAUGAAGAAAAUCACUCUGUCUCAGCUGAAAGCAGGACAUUUGCAUAUUCUGUGCUGCUCAGAAACUGGGGUGCUUCUCAAGAUUACGUGCAGAAAUCCUUUACACCUUGAUGUUUAGACACCUUAUCAAUACAAAUCCUUGGCUUAAAGUACUGACCACGUCUGGGACUAGGAGUGGAUCCAGCUGCACGUAGGCUACUUGUCUCUAUGGUUCAUGGAGUUUAUGAAGUGUGAGGGUCCACUCUGAACCUCUCAGCAGGAGGGCCUCCUAUAUCUGUGUGUUUAUUCUCUACAAAAUAAAUGAUCAAGUGUAUCCA
rnacentral:lncRNA from 1 species